rnacentral:misc_RNA from 1 species
GGAAUGGUAUGCAUGAGAUAACUGUGCAGCAUGAUAGAUUGCUCGAGCUUCGUAUUACGAAGUGUCGUGUUCUCCGUGUUUCUGUCCGUUGUCCUCAACUUCAAAGUUUGUCUCUAAAGCGCACUUCAACUGCUCAUGCCUUGCUUACUUGUCCCCUAUUACUUGAACUGGAUAUUGCAUCCUGCCACAAGCUUUCGGAUGUUGGGAUUCGUUCGGCG